rnacentral:rRNA from 1 species
UACGGAGGGGGCUAGCGUUAUUCGGAAUUAUUGGGCGUAAAGGGCGUGUAGGCGGCUUCGUGUGUCCCAUGUGAAAGCCCUCGGCUCAACCGGGGAACUGCAUGGGAAACUGCGUGGCUUGAGUCCGGGAGAGGUGAGUGGAAUUCCCAGUGUAGCGGUGAAAUGCGUAGAUAUUGGGAGGAACACCGGUGGCGAAGGCGGCUCACUGGACCGGUACUGACGCUGAGACGCGAAAGCCAGGGGAGCAAACGGG